rnacentral:rRNA from 1 species
AACGAACGCUGGCGGCAGGCCUAACACAUGCAAGUCGAGCGAGGACUUCGGUCCUAGCGGCGGACGGGUGAGUAACGCGUGGGAACGUGCCCUUUGCUUCGGAAUAGCCCUGGGAAACUGGGAGUAAUACCGGAUGAGCCCUUUGGGGGAAAGAUUUAUCGGCGAAGGAUCGGCCCGCGUUGGAUUAGGUAGUUGGUGGGGUAAUGGCCUACCAAGCCGACGAUCCAUAGCUGGUUUGAGAGGAUGAGCAGCCACACUGGGACUGAGACACGGCCCAGACUCCUACGGGAGGGAGGAGUGGGGAAUCUUAGACAAUGGGGGAAGCCCUGAUCUAGCCAUGCCGCGUAAGCGAUGAAGGCCUUAGGGUUGUAAAGCUCUUUCAGCUGGGAAGAUAAUGACGGUACCAGCAGAAGAAGCCCCGGCUAACUCCGUG